AGCGAACGCUGGCGGCAGGCCUAACACAUGCAAGUCGAACGAACCUUUCGGGGUUAGUGGCGGACGGGUGAGUAACACGUGGGAACGUGCCUUUAGGUUCGGAAUAACUCAGGGAAACUUGUGCUAAUACCGAAUGUGCCCUUCGGGGGAAAGAUUUAUCGCCUUUAGAGCGGCCCGCGUCUGAUUAGCUAGUUGGUUGAGGUAAUGGCUCACCACGGCGACGAUCAGUAGCUGGUCGGAGAGGAUGAUCAGCCACAUUGGGACUGAGACACGGCCCAAACUCCGACGGGAGGCAGCAGUGGGGAAUCUUGCGCAAUGGGCGAAAGCCUGACGCAGCCAUGCCGCGUGAAUGAUGAAGGUCUUAGGAUUGUAAAAUUCUUUCACCGGGGACGAUAAUGACGGUACCCGGAGAAGAAGCCCCGGCUAACUUCGUG
rnacentral:rRNA from 1 species